UAACACUAAAAGUUGCAGUAAUGUAGGUAAUAAAGGCUUUAAAAAAUCCAAGUUGUCUCCUCCAAACUUGGCUAUAUCCCCUACACAAGCAAAUACACUUUGCUUUAUAUUUGGAUAGCUUUCAUCUUGGCAAAAUAUGAGAAUGUAGUUGGCAAACCCAUAUCUUUUCAAUGUUGGGAUUGUAGGCUCCCUCACUGCCUCUACAAUCGAACUGACCAAGUCUAGAGCGCAUUCGGCAGUGUCAGGCACUGAAUAUGAAACUUCUUCUGAAUUCUUUAAAUUAUUUAGAGCUGACAUUAGAAUGUUUUGAAUACAGUGUUGCAAUAUUGAGUCUGCAAAUCCAGAUGCCUUGUUCCCUACUACAGCAAAAAUUUUUGCGAUUGCAUCCAUCGAAGCAACUAAACAUGGAUGGUCUAUAGGAAAAGAUUUCCAUUUUGUAAUAAGAAGUGGGACCAGGUUAUUUUCAAAUGUUUGGCUAAAUACAUUGGGACCAACUGAGAAACAUAAUGUAGAAAUGGUGUCACAUAAAAUAAGCAAGUUCCUAUAUUGAUAUACGGUCAGUGCCCCAGAUAUAGUAUUCACAAUGUCAUCAAGGAAUGGUAUAAGAGAAAGUGAUUGAGCAGAAUCCUCAAUAAAUGUAGCUGUAGCAGAGCAAGCUGCCUCUUCAACACGUUUAUUAGGAUCAAGCAUUCUAGCUAAUAGCGCACCAAAAGCGCUAUUAAGAAUUGGUUGGCCUUGCUGAAGCGCUAACCAAGGUGUGAAUCUUGAGAUGCACCAACAUGAAAUGCUCCUGAUCAGUGGUUUAGAAUUUGAUGUAAGUUUGACCAAAUAACUCAAGACUCUAGGUAAAAAUGGUGAUAGUCCUUUAAUACAACCUCUAGCAAUAGCGCCUAAGACCAAAAUUGCACUCUCCUGCUUCUCCCAGUUGGGAUCUUGGAGAGUUGCUUCAAUUUUAGGUAAUAGCUCUCCCAAAAUUUCAUCUCCGUAUAUCACCGAUAUGUGGUCCAGCGCAAGAGCUGAGGCUUUUCUUACUGUCCAUUGGUUUCCCCAUGCUCCGAGCUCUACCUCGUCAUCGUUUGAUUCAGAGUUAUCCGUGCGUCCCUGAUGAAACCUAGGGCCUAUAGAGUGAAGGUCAUCUUCAGUUUUGUCCUCGAAAUGAGAAGGGUCCAUUUCAAUAUAAUCAAAAUCUGUAAAUAUAGAAUUUUCAAGUAAGCAAAUGAGUAGUCGAGGUAGAAAUGGUCUAAGAAUAUUUAUUCCCUUUUCAUUUCUAAGAUACAAUGGCCAAAACUCAAAACUUUCAAGCCGUAGAUUAUAUGAAUCACCGCUUGUCUCUUCGCAACAGCACAAUACAAAAUCAAUAAUUAUAUUAACACCUGCUCCGUCAAGGAUCACUCCAGGGUCAUCCUCCAAAAUUGUAAUAAUUCCCAUUAUAGAUAGUAGUCUUAUCUGCCUACUUUCCUGUUUUGCCAAAAUACCAAUUACUUGCCAAUAUCGCGUGAAAAAGUCAUGUAGAGCAUUACCAGAACUAAAAAGGUGAUAUUGAGCAUAUAAAGUGAUGCACUUGAAACUAAGAUGUACUGCAGUCUCAUUCUUACUUAGUAUUAAAUGCUCACCUUGAGAUAUUUGAAAGAGCUUGGGUAAUAUUAAUUGUCUUGACGCGUCAAGAAAAGACAUGAGUCUUGGGUGAGUAUGCUCCAAUAUACCUGAAUUUUCACCCAAACAAUACUCCAGCUCAUCUUCGCAUAUUUUUAUAAGACAAUCAAAUGCACCAUCAAUACUAUCAUUUGUGGCCAUAUCUAACAACUGAGACAAAUGGCGAAGAGAUUCUACCAGUAAAGGUUUUCCUUGUUCUGUAUUAACAAAUGUGGUAACAAUUGUACCAGCAGUAGAUCUGAUUAACCUCUGGGAGUCAUUUAAUGCAUUAAGAGAUGUAACUUUGAGAUAUUCUAUAUAUUCAGAAGAAGAAGGUAUUCCAUAUUGUACAAGAUAGUUCUUUAAUAAAAGCCCUGCCCUUUGACGCACAUCCAAACCCUCACUAUUCAUACCAGAAAAUAUAAGAGCAAAGUAGCAUGGCGCAUCAGGGCUAUUUAUUACAAAGGAAUUCAAGGCAUUAGUUACUUGGAGUUGUACACUGCUUUCAGAAGAAUCAGCCUGUCUCAAAAUGGACAGCACUUCCUGACAUUUUGUUACAUCAUACUUCCAGGAAGACAACAUCUGGGAUCCUUCUCUUUAAUGGUUUUAUUUAUGCUGCCGAUUUAUUCCAGUUUUUAUUUGACUAAAUAAUUAUUCGAACCU
rnacentral:antisense_RNA from 1 species